rnacentral:lncRNA from 1 species
UGUCUUCUUUUUUUGUGGGGUGUGCUUUCUCUUAAUUUAACACCCGAGUUCACAGAUUACUUCCUGCCCUAGGAUCUGUGGCGAAUGUCACCACCUGUGACAGCGCUCUUAUUUAUGAACUGAAGAACACUCUCCAUCUUGGCCCUCUUGCCAGAAAAGUUCUUUCUCCACAGACCAACAGGAAGUUCCCUAAGUACUAUGAGACCUUGUCUUUGCCUAUAGCUGGCUGCAUUGGACAUGGAUUCCUGGCCCAAGUUCAUUAAAGAAGAUGAGGGAAAAUAAACACACAUGUACACGCACACCAGAUAAACUGAAUGCUUCCUUCUGCUGGGGACACGCUGUAGGUGAGCAAGUGCACCAAGGACAAGGCGGCCACUGAUGAAAAGGAAGGGAAAAGAGACUUCAUUUCCAUACCCACUAACCAUGCCAACAGAAGGCUUUGUGAAGAAGGAAGUAAAAGCUAUCGGUAGGAGUUAGAAAAAAACAUUUCUAGUUACAAGAACAGCAGAAAAAGACCUGAACUUCAGAGUGGACCACAAAUGAAUAUGAAUUAAUAACACAGAUCUCUUUUCAAAAGCCAACACAAAAUGAGGAUGUGUUUUUUGCAAAAGCAGUUGUUCUUGCCACUGGGCUUAUGCUUGUCAUUCUUUCAUGUGUCACAGCCAGACCUAGGAAAUUCCCUGGAAAGUCCCCUCCAUCACACACCUGCAGUUUUUCCAUUUGAGUGUAAUUCUGUUGGACCUUGAAAGACUUUUUGAUCUUUGGGACGCUCUUAUCACCAAAUGUAUCUUUCUGCAGGAAGAAGACAGAAGAAAGGGGUGGACUAUGAGAUGGGAGCCUGGGUCCCAAUUUCAGUUCAACCAUUACCAACCAGGUGGCUUUAGGCAAGUCUGGUCAUUUCCUUUGCCUCAGUGGCUUUCUAUAAAAUGGAAUUCUAUAGGGAUGAUGAAAGCGAAAACGUUAGCCACUAUGCUUGCUAGUGCUCAAGAAAUGAUUCCUUCCUGCCUGCCUGCCUCAGUUUUCCAUCUGUAAACAAGGAUUCAACUAGAACAUCUUUGAGGUUCCUUGAGCUCUAACACUCUGUGAUUCUGUUGGCAGCACCUUAAGAAAUUUACAACAAACACUCCAUUGAGUCUUAAUCUAUUAGAUCCCAUUCAGUUCUAAUAGUGUUGUGAUUUUGACUUUGUAGCCUCAUGUUUAUUUUCUCUCUUCCUGAUUUUUUAUUUAUAUAUUCUAUUUAAUAGUUUUUGCUUUUUCAAGUUGUCACCAGUUCUUUGUAGAAUAAGAAAAAAGUAUAACUAACUGGAGGAAAGAAUGCAUUCACAGAAAGCCAAGGAAUGAUAACACUAAUGCUAAUACAAUACUACUGCUAAUAAAAAUAACUGCCUUUAUUGAACACUUACUGUGUGCAAAGAACUAUGCUAAGCACUUUAUAAACAUUGGGUCAUUUAAUUCUCACAGUAACCCCAUGAAGCCAUACUUUUCAUCUCCAUUUUUACAGAUAAGGAGACUGAGUCUUAGAGAUAGCAAGCAACUUGUCCAUGGUAAAGCUGAGCUGCAAAUUCAGGUUGGGAUAACUCGGAGAAGUGG